rnacentral:tRNA from 1 species
GUCUCAAUAGUUUAACGGGCAAAACAUGGCGGCAUUUAAACAAGGAGCAAAGACUUUUAACCAUCAUUUGUAGGUUCGAGUCCUGCUUGAGACA